CAAAAUCUUGACAUUCGAAUUACGUCAUUCCAGUUUGAACAUGGAACAAACGGAACGAACAACGCAUGCCUAAAGAAAAUUCUCUGGAGAGUUGGUCAGGACUUCGAAGAGGAGAAGGAAGCAUAUAGUCUAGCCAAGGAUACAUACUAAGAUGAAAUGGCUGCUUGAAGUCUGCGACCCAUAGACAUCACCAGGUGCUGACCGUCGUCUCUGGUGAUGCUUUGCCAGUCCUGUACUGCAGCCAUCUUUGGCUCUUCCUUGUUUCGGAGGGUUGCAUAUUUGGCACACUGCAGACUAGGAUUCAUAAGCACACCCUGUUCUGGCCAACUUCCUCACAAGAAAAUAAAGAAUAAAUAAAUGACCUGAUAGAAGGGGAAUUGUAGAAAUUAGAGGGCAAGGAUUGAGAUGACUUUACAAGAGCCUUGCUUUGUGGGAAUGCCGGCUCUGAAAUUUUGGACCAACAGUGGCAUGUUGGGAAUAGAGCAGAACGCGUUUGCUGACAGCCCUGAUCAACAUUAUUUUCCUCCCCAGACAUUUUAUCCAUUGCAGCAACAUUUGGGUGAUUCUCAGAGUCAAUUACGCCAAGAAAACCAAAAGGGCUUGAUCUGCCACACAGAAUGCUAAAUCCCCUCAUCGACAUGUCAAACAGCGUCAGGAUUAAAAUGGCUGAAUACUCCUGUCAUCAACUCCGUUUCUGCAAAAUACAUGAAAGCGACAUCACAUAAAUGCACAUUGGUAUAAAUAAUUAGGGAAAUAAAAUUUGGUGCAGAAAAGGCUGUGUUUUUUUCUCUGCUGUGAUAAUAAAUAAAGAACACGCGAUUUAUAGUCCAAUUUCCACUCCUGAUGCAAUUCACUGACAGUGGGAGGAUCAGGCAGGUAACUUGCAAAGUCUUUCGAGCCAAUCUCAUAUAAUCUAUAGGGCGCUGGUGCAAACCGAUCCAGAGUGAGACUCAGGGACCUCUUGGUAAGAUAAAGUUUAAUCAAACUAUCAAACUCUCAUUAGACAACAAGACAUAAACUACCAUAAAAUCAUGAAUUUGGCUCUAACUGUUGACUAAACAUGUGCAGCUUUACAAUUCUUCUGGAAGCAGGAAGCCAUUGGGAGCAACAAUGUCCUUGGUUACCUUGGUUUCAUGAACUGACAGGUAUUUUUAUGAUUUUUUUCUGCUCCACUGAAUCGCAGCCCCAGACAAAUUUAGAUUUAUUUGUGGCUUUGGGAUUUUACUGUGCCUGCACAGAGUCCUUUGGCAUGUUGUUUGGAAGCCUGUCAAGAAUGAGAGAGUAGAAGAAAGUAAGUGCAAAACACAGAUGGAGAGAGAGAGAGAGAGAGAGAGAGAGAGCAGAUUGAAAUGUGGACUCCUUCACCAGAUACAAGUAACCUGAACUAGGGACACUUGUGUAAUUUGUAAAGUAGAUGUUAAAAAAUGAUGCCAUACAAGUUCUACCUAUCUGAAAGGUUUGACUGCAUUGUCCGAACUUGUCAGCAUAGAUCAGGGUUAGAUUCAAGUUAAAUUGAACAUAACAAGAUCAUUCCUGGUUAAAUUUAUAUCACAGAAAAAUCCAUGCAUUUAAAUGCAUUGCAAGCUGUGAAAACUGGUAUGAAGAAGAUACGCACAGUCAAUAUUUCUAUCUUUAUUAAAUCAAAUCUGGAAACAUAUGCAGUGCAUAUCUAUAGGGAUUGGAUCGUUGGAUGGGGGACUGGAUUGUACUUGAAAAAAAUGCAAUCAGAGGAUGAUAAACAAUGUAUGGAAGAAAACAAUAAAA